CACAGCCCUAGUGAAAAUGAGCAACUGUGGGAAGAGCAAGCAAAAGAGGGAGAGGAGGUAGAAUGAGAAUGGGGCGGGGCCUCAGAAUGGGGGAAGAAGUGGGGUCCUUGGAGGAGGGGCAGGUCAAAGUUGUUCAGUUUUGUGAGAGUAGAAAACUGGCAACCUUAGUAACUUAAAAUAUAAAAUCCCAGAUGCUAAAAAUUGGAAAAAUUACUCAUGGAAUGAAUACACAAUCUCAUUGGUCUUUUGCACUGCUUUUUUGUUAUUACAUAUGAUCUUUUUUUUUAUAUUAACGAGGAGUCCUUUGGCAUCUUAAAGGCUAGCAAGUUUAUGCAUUUGAUGAAGUGGGGUCCAGUCUAAGAAAUUUUAUGCCCUAAUAAAUUUGCUGCUUUUUAAGGUGCCACAAGAUUCCUCAUUGUUUUUGCUAAGAAACCAAUAUAGCUAUCUCCCUGAAAUUUAAUUCUGUGUCAUUUAUUCAGAUAAAGUCUUUAUAGUCAUGGAUUUAAAUGAUACAGAAAUACAUUUCUAAAAUAAAUAAUGAAAGACCAGAUUGUAUCUAUACUAUAGGCACAGCUACAAAGAAAGAAUGAUAUACCUUAGGAAACUAGGCAGGAGAUGCGAGCUAUAUGUCCACAUUCAGGUCGAGUUUACACUGGUAAGUUACCGCACAGUAAAUCAGUGCCCAGCACUGUAAUUUUAACUGUGUCCACACCGGCAAGGCACUUAGUGCACGCUAGCUCCGCAAUUAGUGUGCACUAGGUAAACCAUCUCCGUGAGAAGUGUAAAGUUUGCUGUACUCUAGAUAGUGCACUGGGGUGCCAGUGUGGACACUGUGGUGUAGUAAUGUGUCCUGAUUGGCACCCUUCCCACAAUGCCUGUUCUGACCUCUCUGGUCACGUUUGAACUCUAGUACCGUGCUCAGGUGACCAAGACCUGCCAAUGCAAGACCUGCAUUCUUUUUGAAUUGUGAAACUCCCCUACCUGUUUGCUUGACAACAGGUAGAGUUCUCAGCACAUCUCUCCAGUUGGCCAUUGCUCCACGCACCAAGAUCCCCGGCUUGGAGCCAUGCUGAAGUGCUGGACCUCAUCAGCAUUUGGCAAGAAGACGCAGUCCAGUCUCAGCUGUGCUCCAGCCAUGGGAAUUACAAUAUCUACAGGCACACCUCUAGGUGCAUGACUGAAAGGGGCCAUGACCAUGAUGCACUGCAGUGUAGGGUUAAAGUGAAGGAUCUGUGAAACGCGUACCACAAGGCUCGGGAAGCAAACCACCACCCUGUUGCUGUGCCCUGAUUCUACAAAGAGCUGGAGGAGAUACUUGGAAGUAACCCUAUCUCCACUUUGAAGACCCCCAUGGACAUCUCAGGGGCAGUGGACUGAGCCAGAAGAGGAAGGUGUGGCCGAGUGUGCUGAGGGGGAGAGGAACCCAGAGCCAGAGAACUUGGCAUCCUUAAAGGCUUACAGGCAGAAGCCAUUUUGUAUCCCAAAGAGACGAGCCACUCACUGCAGAUGGUGCUACUGGUAAGUGGAUGGAAAAGCACUCAAGCAACUUGCCAGGAGUGGGAGAGUUACAGAAAGGAAGAGAGGAAGCAUUUGGCCUCUCCAUUCCUACUCCUGUCAACAAGAAGCUCUAUUCCUGACUUCUUGCUGCCAGCCCUCUUCCCAUAAGAAAAGGGGAAUGUUGCUGCAGAGAACAGGUGAUAUCAGAUCCAGACCAAUUGGUUGACUGGAAGAAAGCCCCUUGGUUUGGGCUUUGGGGAGAUGCAUGUGCUAGUGCUGCUGGUGGUUCAAGAGGUCACAUAGGAUAUGUUCACACUAUACUAUAUACCUGGAUCAGAGGGACCUAAGCUCAGGGAUUCAGUGUUUUCAAGCCCAUGCUUGAGUGUCCAUGCUACAUUGUAAACUUAGGCUUACAGUUGCUGAAUCCAGGUCACACAGCUUCCUUGAGUGUCCAUACUGCAUUGGAGAGACCUUCUGGGCCAAGCUUGGUUUUUAGUGGUUAGGUGUUCAUUACAUCAGUUGAACAGUCAGUCUUCAAAAUUGGGCCUGGAGAGGAAUUUCUCUUUGGCCUUGACAUAUGGCCUCUUGAGGCAUGCUAAGACUCUGCAAUCUUACACAUUGCUAUUGCCUUGUGAUGGAGUAUAUACCCCAUCCUGACUAUGAAAGGCUUAAUGUGGUCCUGAGAGGCCACUCACUCACCUGGUUGUACCUGGAGGGUAGGAUAGUCUUAAUUUAGAUCAAUCCCAGGUGGGGAGGGACCUGGGUGGUGAUUGUAUAAGACCGGAGGAGAAAAAUAACAUAUUGUUCAUUUGCCCCCAAUACUUUCUCCAGUUUUAUUUUUGCAUUUUUAAUUCCUUGCACCACCGCUUUACCCCUUUCAUUGUUCAUUAAAUCCUUGCUAUUUAUUAUACUUUUUGCUUGUUUGUAUUUCUAUUUUUUUCCCUCAGAUUCUUGUUUGACAAUCUUCAUUCCACUAGAUAACUGUAUUUCUGAGUUUGACACAGUUUGGUGUCUUACAUAUUAGCUAGGUUGGCUGCUGUUACAGCUCCUUUUAUUGCAUUAUCAUGACAUUGUUUAGAUGAUCACUUAUAUGAUUAGAUAUUAGAUAUUUAGUACACUUACUCUUUAAGAGUUCCCAAUGUGCUUUUCUAAGGCUUCAAGUAGGAAUUUCUUGGGUGUUUUCAAUACUACCUUGGCCCCUAUAAAUUUCCCAGCUGUAUUUACAUUCUAUAUUGCUUGUUGCAAAUCCCAGAUCUAAACAUGAAAAGAUUCCAUCCACAGAGUUAAACCUCGUAGCUGUUCUAGUACUGAGAAAUACCAGGUUGGGCAGGACAACAAACUGUUCCAGGUAUUUGCUGUUAUAAUCAGUUUUCCUGAUUUCCUAUAAUUCAUUAUGGCUAUUGAAGUCUCAUAAACAACAUACAGGACUUUCUAAUUGUCUAGUUUUUUUUAGAUGGGUUCUGUGGUGAUUUGUAUAAAGGCAGUGCUAUUCAUUCUGCAGAUGAAUCUCAAUAGCAAUGUACUCAAAACUUCAUUUCUUUACAUCUUUAUCAAUAUAAUUAAAGACCUUCCUUUAGAGCAGGAAGGAUAUUUAUAGUUAUUUUUCCGUCAUGCUGGAUUAUAUCAUAUCCUGGAAGUCUAAACAUAAGUUCUCAUUAACCAUGUACACAUUACAUUAUGAGGUUUUUUUUUCCCAUUUAAAAAGCUUCCUUUAAUGCUUGACCAUGUGUUGUUAAACUAUGUUCUAGGGGAAAAAAGUCAAUAGAAACAUUGUUUAAACUGCAUCACAUUCAUGCAAUUUUAAAUGAAGGUAGUCUGCUGAGAGAUUGCCUAUAUGCAAAUACUUUUUGCUGCUUUUGUUAUUAUAUGUAUUCUUUCAGAGAUCUUCCCUGUCUGUAAAAUGCAAUUCAUAAAGUUGGGUUGGCUCACCAGCUGGAGGGGGCGGGGGGAAUCAUUUUCCCUAGGUUGGCUUAGCUGGUUGGGAUGCAAGUUAAGUGCAAUUAAUCACUUGUCAUAAAUGCUAUACAUUUCCCAGUGCCUACAAGUACGUACUACAUUUUCAUCUGUCCCCCUUAUAUUAUGUUUCUGUGCUGGUUUUGUGGUGUUGUACUAGUAGCUCUCUUCCCACAUUAGCAUUUUCCUCCUCCUCCACUUUCCAUUGGGAUUAUGUUUUAGUUGCUACAGUACUACACAGGAUAUUCUAAGGCUUCAGAUAUGGAUAAACAAGUUAAAAGAAUGAAUGGAAUAUGAAAUAAAAACAAAUAUAUACCUAGUCUUAUAGUAAAUGAUAAAGUUGAAAAUUCUUACUUAUGAAAAAAAUGAAUAUUUUAGUAAAAAAGAGUUCAAAAAAUUAGUAGUGACAAAUCAAAGAAAGGAACUUUGUGAACAAAAAUGUUUGCUAAAAAAAUGGAUGAGCUCUUACAUGAUAGGGUAGAAUAUACAGAAUAAAUGAAAAUGUACGUUUACAGGAAUUUUAAAAAAGCUACAGGUAAAAGUAAAAAUGCAGUUUGCUAAGUAAGGAUAGUACCUGUGCUACCAUGCUUGAAACACUUACCAUAAGAAAGUUUAUUUUGUUGAAAUUAUGGAAUAUAUGGAAAGUAUGGAAAAGGUAUACUAGCAGCAGAGUGGAAGCAAGUGGUGAUUUAUACAGAUUGGAAAACCUGGUAAAUUAUGCAAAGACCUUAUGCAUACAGAUCUAUUGCCCUCACAUCCUGUGAAGACAACAUUGUAAGACUGAUAAAUGAGAGAGAUUAGUACAAUACAUGGAAAAAAUGAAAUAUAAACUGUGUAACAAAGUGGUUUCAGGACAGGAAGAUGCAAAGUUGAUCAUAUUGUAAAAUUAGAAACAAAUACCAAACAAAGUUUGAUAGUUGUGUUUUGGAGACUGAAAAAUGCAUGGUAUACCAUAGAGGGAAGCUUGCUGUAUAAACUAGCCACAGUUGGAUUAAGAGGAAGAAUGUUCUGGUUGAUAAGAAACUGCUUAAAUGUUAGAACCAUACAUGUCAGAUAGGGGCGGCUUUAAGUUAAAUGUUUAUAAAUUUUCUAAUGGCAUUUCAUAGGGGAGUGUGAUCAACCCAACCCUAUUUAACAUUAUUAUUAAUGAUCUUUGGCUAGUAUACAGGCAGGAAUAAGUGUUAGUCUAGUGCAGAUGAUGGUGAUAUAUGGGCCAAACAUAGAAGUUUUAAGAUAGCUGUGGAGGGAACUAAUGAGCAGUUGGAGAUUUAGGCUCUCACUUGUUCAAACAAAGGUAAUGUUCUUCAUCAAAAAGGAAAACUGAGGAAGGAUGGGAUUUCUCCCUAUAUAAAGAAAAAGUCAGAUAGGUUCAAAAGUUUACAUUUUUAGCAGUUAUAUUCAGUACAUUAACUUGGAAGGGUCAUAGAUAAUAUCAAAACUAACUGAACAGAUAGGAUGAAUCUGCUUUUAAGUAUUACCAGGAACAUGGGGUACAGAUACGAAAAAAAACCUGUUAAUGCUAUAUAGGGCAUUAAUAAGACCAGUUACAAAUUAUGGAUACUAAGUUCAACUUCUAAUAACAAAACACAGACUCAC